UAUGGGCAGAUGAGGAAUAUCAUAAUUUUAAUGGGUAAUUUGCGUCUGAUACUUUUCAUUGAUGCUAUAUCACCUUGGAGAACUGAUGCCAUUC
rnacentral:snoRNA from 1 species